rnacentral:tRNA from 1 species
GGGGAGAUGCCGGAGCGGUUUAUCGGGACCAGGGUUAGACCUGGUUAAGCCAUUCCGGGCUUCGGGGGUUCGAAUCCCUCUCUCCCCG